rnacentral:sRNA from 1 species
AUUUAAACCUGAUUGAAGCGGAAAUACUUUUUGAUGAAGUUUGCAACGGGUUCACACUGACAAAUCGCAAAAAGAUUUUAGCAAAAAGCAGGGCUGCUU